GGCAUGCUCAUGGCUGGCAGGUACGAAACAUGCAAGUCGAGCGGAAACGGCAACACUGAUUCUUCGGAUGAUUUGUUGGACGUCGAGCGGCAGGACGGGUGAGUAAUGCUUAGGAAUUUGCCCAGUCGAGGGGGAUAACUAUUGGAAACGAUAGCUAAUACCGCAUACGCUCCUUUCUGUAAAAAGAGGGGAGGAAAGAGGGGGACCUUAGGGCCUCUCGCGAUUGGAUAAGCCUAAGUGAGAUUAGCUAGUUGGUGAGGUAAUGGCUCACCAAGGCGACGAUCUCUAGCUGGUCUGAGAGGAUGAUCAGCCACACUGGAACUGAGACACGGUCCAGACUCCUACGGGAGGCAGCAGUGGGGAAUAUUGCACAAUGGGCGCAAGCCUGAUGCAGCCAUGCCGCGUGUGUGAAGAAGGCCUUCGGGUUGUAAAGCACUUUCAGCAGUGAGGAAGGUGGUAGUGUUAAUAGCACUAUCAUUUGACGUUAGCUGCAGAAGAAGCACCGGCUAACUCCGUGCCAGCAGCCGCGGUAAUACGGAGGGUGCGAGCGUUAAUCGGAAUUACUGGGCGUAAAGCGCAUGCAGGUGGUUUGUUAAGUCAGAUGUGAAAGCCCUGGGCUCAACCCGGGAAGGUCAUUUGAAACUGGCAAGCUAGAGUACUGUAGAGGGGGGUAGACUUUCAGGUGUAGCGGUGAAAUGCGUAGAGAUCUGAAGGAAUACCAGUGGCGAAGGCGGCCCCCUGUCAGAUACUGACACUCAGAUGCGAAAGCGUGGGGAGCAAACAGGAUUAGAUACCCUGAUAGUCCACGCCGUACACGAUGUCUACUUGCAUGUUUGUUCCAUGAGGAGUGCUUUCGGAGCUAACGCGUUAGUAGACCGCCUGGGAGUACGGUCGCAAGAUUAAAACUCAAAUGAAUUGACGAAGG
rnacentral:rRNA from 1 species